GCGAACUCCAGCGCUUGCGCGAGGGGAAAUCAUGACACUAGCACGAUGCUAAAUGGCACUGCAGAGGUUGUCGGGGACAUUAAACAUAAUCCGACCAAACAGGAAAAAACUUUGCAGAUAAACUCAAGGCUCUACAGUAUGACCAUUUCACUCGCGUUUGCGACUGAAAACUACUUUGUGCGACUGUGAAUAAAUAUUUAUUUGCAUCGGUGCUAGUGACCUGUGCGGAGUUGUAUAAUACAAUAAUAAAAACUACAGGAAGUCCAAAAUGCAUCGACACCGCGCAACAGUUACUUUCGCACUGCUUUUCAUCACCUCAGUCAACCGAACAAGGGUGGAAAUACUGCAGAGAAGCCAUUGUGAUGACAAGAGUAACACUGAUCAUCAUCUGCUUCUCUCAACUUCCCGAUCUCACAAACUGCCAUCUUUUAUUGAUCCCGCAAAAUGACCUGAGCUUGCACCUGCUCGUGUAGACACAGCGGUGUCGGCGGAGUAUAUUAAUAAUAAUGCUAACGCUACAAGUUCACCCUAGAAAAAGGUACCUUGGACCCUGAUCCUCUCUCCUGUCUGUGUGGUGAGGGAAGUCACAUGGAAGAUUGAGUCUGUGGUCCGGAGAGCUCAAUGAACCCAACCCGAGCCAGGCCUAUGGAAGCAGUACUUCUACUACAACCCUUGCCUGUUCCCAGCCGCUAAGCCCUGAUCACACAUCGCCUUGGACUUCAUCACUGAUCUAGCCGAGGUACCUCUUGCAAGGUAACCCCAUCAUCUGUACACCUGUACCAACAUGAUAGAUCAGGGUUCUUCAAACCAUAACACAAAGAUGGAUGUCAUAGUUAAACCAAGUAGAAUAAAAUAAAUAAAUAAAACUGGUGGUUUGGCCAAACCUGCCCCAUGCCUGGUUAGUUUUGAAGUUAACUCCCUUCUUCAAAUACCACCUGCAGGUGACAGAGCUAGAUGAAAAUCAUGCAGAGCAGCCAUUAUUUCCCCACAA